AGAGUUUGAUCAUGGCUCAGGAUGAACGCUGGCGGCGUGCUUAACACAUGCAAGUCGAACGAAGCAGCUUUCUUGCUUGCAAGAAGCUGACUUAGUGGCGGACGGGUGGGUAACGCGUGGGUAACCUGCCUCAUACAGGGGGAUAACAGUUGGAAACGACUGCUAAGACCGCAUAACCCGCUAGUGUCGCAUGACACGGACGGAAAAAUAUUUAAUUUUAACGAGUUAAAAUUUGGUAUGAGAUGGGCCCGCGUCUGAUUAGCUAGUUGGUAAGGUAACGGCUUACCAAGGCGACGAUCAGUAGCCGACUUGAGAGAGUGAUCGGCCACAUUGGGACUGAGACACGGCCCAAACUCCUACGGGAGGCAGCAGUGGGGAAUAUUGGACAAUGGGGGAAACCCUGAUCCCAGCGACGCCGCGUGAGUGAAGAAGUAUUUCGGUAUGUAAAGCUCUAUCAGCAGGGAAGAUAAUGACAGUACCUGACUAAGAAGCCCCGGCUAACUACGUGCCAGCCGCCGC
rnacentral:rRNA from 1 species